GACGAACGCUGGCGGCGUGCUUAACACAUGCAAGUCGAGCGGUAAGGCCUUUCGGGGUACACGAGCGGCGAACGGGUGAGUAACACGUGGGUGAUCUGCCCUGCACUCUGGGAUAAGCCUGGGAAACUGGGUCUAAUACUGGAUAUGACCUCAGCAUGCAUGUGCUGGGGUGGAAAGCUUUUGUGGUGCAGGAUGGGCCCGCGGCCUAUCAGCUUGUUGGUGGGGUAAUGGCCUACCAAGGCGACGACGGGUAGCCGACCUGAGAGGGUGACCGGCCACACUGGGACUGAGACACGGCCCAGACUCCUACGGGAGGCAGCAGUGGGGAAUAUUGCACAAUGGGCGGAAGCCUGAUGCAGCGACGCCGCGUGAGGGAUGAAGGCCUUCGGGUUGUAAACCUCUUUCAGCAGGGACGAAGCGUGAGUGACGGUACCUGCAGAAGAAGCACCGGCUAACUACGUGCCAGCCGCCGCCGUAACAC
rnacentral:rRNA from 1 species